UCCUGUGUCCAGUUCUGGGUCCCUCAUUACAGGAAGGACAUUGAGGUACCGGAGUGUGUCCAGAGAAGGCCAACAGAGCUAGGGCAGGGUUUGCAGUGUAAGUCCUAUGAGGAGUAGCUGAGGAUACUGGAAGUGUUUUGUCUGGAGAAAAGGAGGUUCAGGAGAUCACUCUGUACAACUUAUCACUCUGUACAACUCCCUUGGAGGAGGCUGUAGCCAGGUGAGGGUUGGCCUCAUCUCCCAGGCAGCCAGUGACAGGAGGAAAGGACAUAGCCCCAAGCUUCACUAGGGGAGGUUCAGGUUGGAUGUGAGGAAGAAUUUUUUCACUGAAAGGGUAGUGUCAGAAUGGACUGCCCAGAGAGGUGGUGGAGUCACUAUCAGUGGGAAUGUUCAGUAAAUGACUGGGUGCGGCACUUAGUGUUAUGGCCUAGUUGUCAAGGUGGUGAUCAGUCAAAGGUUGGGCUUGAUGAUCUUGAAGGUCUUUUCCAGCCUUAAUGGUUCUGUGAUUCACUGUGAUUCUGUGAACACUUGUACAUUCAUCUGUUCUUACCUUCACACUGAUCUGUGCAAGUGGACUUCAAAACAUACUUGUGAGAGGCCCAGGCAUUGCUCUUACAGGAGUUAUUGACAAGGAUAUUUUGAUACCUGUUUUCUCAAGUUGCUUUGAUGGUUCUGACAUUUUCAGUUUUCUCCUUUUCUGCAGAACUAUUGCUGCUCCUCAGAGUCUUGUUGCACUGGCUGCCAGAUAAAUUCAGGCUAGUGUCAGCAUGGAGACCAGCCGGUAUAGAAGUCAGAGGUAGGUUAAAACCUUUGAUUCCUCUUUUAGUGCCAGGAAUGCACUAUCAACCUGUUUCUGAAUGAUAGGGGAGCCAUGUGGGUCAGAUGCCUUCUCACAGCCCAGUUCUCUUUCUCCCCUGCAGUAAAAUAAACUGUGGUGUGUCUUCUUGAUCUCUAGCAGAGAAGUGACUCCUUCAAGAGGCAGGUGUGAUUUGGGAGGUUUUAUAUUCACAGCUUUAUCUCACACGUACCUAUCACAGUUAUGUUGGAAGAGAAGCUGGUCAGGCUUUCUUGAACUCUCCUUUGGACCAGACCAGAGAAAGUGAACCUCAGGAAGAAAUCUGAAGGAAGAAAUAAUAAAUCUAAAGGAUUGUGUCACAGGAGACGUUUCAUGCAUAAGUAACAGGAAAAGAAAGUGGAAAUGUUUGCAAGAAUUAUGAACACUUCCACUGACAUUUCCACUGACCUUGUUGAAACCCUAUCAGACAAAGCAAGGAGUAUAUGGGACUAUCUUCACACCACCACGCUCAAGGCCUUCACAGAACAACCUUGCAGCAAGCUGCUGACCUAUCUGCUGCUGCUGCUCCUUUUGACUGCAGGAGUAGUCAAAGUCUGGAAAGACAGUAUAAGAGCUACAGCAUUAUAUUUGGAACAUUAAAAAUAAGCAAAAGGAAAUGAGUACAAUUCUUAGUCUUUGCCAGAAGGUCCUCAAUUCAUAUUAUGGCUUCAAAUACAGAGUGGCUAUCCUAGUAGAAAAUUGUGGACACCUUUUGAGGGUGGCACAAAGGAAAGAAGGGAUAUAUGUCAGCACAUUGGUCAACAGUAACUGUUCCUGUGUGAAGAAAUUUCAUGGUAGACCUCACUGUAGCCACAUAAUAGCUCAGAAGACAGCCUGUGUCUAUGUAACCCUGCUGCUUCCUCAAGAAGCUGACAUAUCACAUUAACAGUGGAUGGUGCUGUGUCCUACAGCUGUCUUGAUGUAUGUGUGAUGUCCAGAAUCUGAUGCCAGCCAGCAGACAUUUGUGUUGCAAAGAGCUGGUGCAAAGCUGCAAGCACUGAGACUGCUGCACUGUCCAGUAACUAUUACAAGCUCAUCUAUGGGCUUACAGUCUCUUGGAGGACCUGCAACAAUUCUUCACAGCACUGCUGUACUUUGCUCAAGUAGUAAGGAGUAAACUUCAACUCCACACAUAUAAUAUUUGCAGGAGUUUUCUUCUUGGUUUAGACCUACAGAUUUCAGCGCAAAGAUGGUGAUCUAAGUUAUAUUUUCUGCCUGACUUUACAGAUGUACAGUGUAAAUUUGCAAAAAACAAAAGCCUUUUUCUCUUGAAGUUAAUUUAACAUUUGUUGAAACCUUUUUUCCCAGUGAAUUAUUUUUUUUCCAGUAAUUUUUUUUCCUCAAACCAUUUUGUACAUUGCAUAUUUCAUUAAAACCAUAUCUAGAAACAGUUUCAAUGAGUAACUUUCAACCGGUUCAUGCAUACUAGGACUCACUAGGACUCACAAAAAUGCAUAUAUGCUUAGAUGUCCUUAAAGGAGAACACUAUUUAUAUCAUCUGUAUUAAUACUCUCCAAGACUAAUGUACUUGUCCUUGUCCUAAAUAAAAUUAAUGCUAGAAUUGCUUCCUAUUGCCAGCGUACUUUCAGACGGCCUAAAUUAAAAAAAAAAAAAGCAAAAAACUUGAGUCUGCAUGAAUACAUCCAUAAUGAUGUCUCCAUUUUAUUCCUAAUUAAAAGCUCAUUAAUAUCAAAGACAAUUGUAAGAAACCCAGAUGAGACCUUAUCAUUUGGGAUUUUAAGAUUGAAGGCACUCACAAU